rnacentral:rRNA from 1 species
AUUGAACGCUGGCGGAAUGCUUUACACAUGCAAGUCGAACGGCAGCACGGGAGCUUGCUCCUGGUGGCGAGUGGCGAACGGGUGAGUAAUAUAUCGGAACGUAUCCAAUAAUGGGGGAUAACUAGUCGAAAGAUUAGCUAAUACCGCAUACGCCCUGAGGGGGAAAGCUGGGAUCUUCGGACCUAGCGUUAAUGGAGCGGCCGAUAUCUGAUUAGCUAGUUGGUGGGGUAAUGGCCUACCAAGGCGACGAUCAGUAGCUGGUCUGAGAGGACGACCAGCCACACUGGAACUGAGACACGGUCCAGACUCCUACGGGAGGCAGCAGUGGGGAAUUUUGGACAAUGGGCGCAAGCCUGAUCCAGCCAUUCCGCGUGAGUGAAGAAGGCCUCGGGUUGUAAAGCUCUUUCGCAAGGGAAGAAAACUUAACCUCUAACAUAGGUUGAGGCUGACGGUACCUUGAUAAGAAGCACCGGCUAACUACGUGCCAGCAGCCGCGGUAAUACGUAGGGUGCGAGCGUUAAUCGGAAUUACUGGGCGUAAAGCGUGCGCAGGCGGCCUGAUAAGUCAGAUGUGAAAUCCCCGAGCUCAACUUGGGAACUGCGUUUGAAACUAUCAAGCUAGGAUAUGUCAGAGGGGGGUAGAAUUCCACGUGUAGCAGUGAAAUGCGUAGAGAUGUGGAGGAAUACCAAUGGCGAAGGCAGCCCCUGGGAUAAUAUUGACGCUCAUGCACGAAAGCGU